rnacentral:rRNA from 1 species
AUGGGGGCCGCGCGCGACGAGGCCGGCCUAGCCGCCGCCUCCUCCUCGCACACGCGCCCCCGUCCCUCGUCCUCCCGCAUCCCAGCCCCCGCUCGCCCCCGACCUCUCCCUCCCUCGCACCUCCCUCGCACCUCGCCGGCCCGCCCACGUCGCCGCCGCCGAUGCCCCUCGGAUCCCACCGCGGUGGACCUUCUCCUCGUCUCCCUCGCUCCCGUCCCCCCUCUCCUUCCCUCGGAGCCCCAGCAGAGGGAGGACGAGGAGCACAACGACGACGAUGGCGGGGAACAGCAGCAGGCAGCAGCAGGUCGCGAGCGACGAGCAGCAGCGGAGGGAGGACGAGGAGCACGACGGCGGCGGUGGCAGAGAGUGGUGUACAGCGCCGCCAGGGCCGUGCUGGAGCGGCUGAUGCGUCGGCCGCAUCCGCCGAGGAGCCGGCUGCUAGCCCUGGCCCGUCUCCUCCUCCCUCGGGAUUUGAUCCAGACAGGUCCACCGGGCCCUUCGGGGUUCCACGGUUGCACGGGCCAGCUCGGCUGCGACGGACGCUGCUGCCGCCGGCCUCGGCCGCCGCGCGACCGUGUGGAUGGCGCUCGCCGUGUCCCUAUCCGCGCCCGCCUACUACACGGCGCCGCCCCCAUUGUCGGCGCUCACGGAGGAGAACCUGCUGUUCCUGGAGGCGUGGCAUGUGGUCGACCACGGCUACUAUUACAAGUCCUUCAACGGGCAGAGCUGGUUCAGAUGCGGCGAUUAAGAAGAUGCUUGCAACAUUGGAUGAUCCGUUCACUCGGUUACUGGAACCCGAGAAAUUCAAAAGUUCGCGGUAAGUCUGGCACGCAAGGUGCCCUCAUGGGUGUAGGUUUAUCCAUCGGCUAUCCAUUGGCGCCUAAUGGAUCAACUACAAGGCUAUCUGUAAUGUCAGCUGCCCCACGGGGUCCUGCAGAAAAGGCGGGCAUCGUGUCUGGAGACGUUAUUUUGGCAAUUGACGAUGCAAGUGCGCAAGACAUCUGGGUCCUGAGAAGCUCAGUAGAUUUGACUAUUCUCAGUGGAGCUGAUACCAGACAUUUUGUUUUGAAGAGAGAAAGAUAUACUUUAAACCCGGUAAUGUCAAGGAUGUGUGAGAUUCCAGGUUCAGAGGACAGCUCAGAGAUCGGUUACAUCAAAUUAACAACAUUUAACCAAAAUGCUGCAGGAUCCGUGAAGGAAGCCAUUAAGAAAUUAAGGGAGAACAAUGUAAAGCCCUUCGUGUUGGAUCUGCGGAAUAACAGCGGUGGCCUUUUUCCUGAAGGGAUUGAGAUUGCGAAGAUUUGGUAA